UCAGCAAUGAUAUAGGUCGGUAUUCUGCGGCUUCGUAACCGUCCUUCCAAGGUUUAAGUAACGCAAUCUUCAUUUUUUUUAAAUUGCUUUGGUAUUUUUGCAGUAUUUACAAUAUCGUAAAACGCAGUUAACCAGGUAUGGGUUCUUGGUCCUGCGAAUUUAACAAUACUCAGAAUAUACCCCAUCGAAACCUGCAGCUUAGUUUGGUUUGGUUU